rnacentral:rRNA from 1 species
UAGGGAAUCUUCCGCAAUGGGCGAAAGCCUGACGGAGCAACGCCGCGUGAGUGAUGAAGGUCUUCGGAUCGUAAAACUCUGUUAUUAGGGAAGAACAAAUGUGUAAGUAACUAUGCACGUCUUGACGGUACCUAAUCAGAAAGCCACGGCUAACUACGUGCCAGCAGCCGCGGUAAUACGUAGGUGGCAAGCGUUAUCCGUAAUUAUUGGGCGUAAAGCGCGCGUAGGCGGUUUUUUAAGUCUGAUGUGAAAGCCCACGGCUCAACCGUGGAGGGUCAUUGGAAACUGGAAAACUUGAGUGCAGAAGAGGAAGGUGGAAUUCCAUGUGUAGCGGUGACAUGCGCAGAGAUAUGGAGGAACACCAGUGGCGGAGGCGACUUUCUGGUCUGUAACUGACGCUGAUGUGCGAGAGCGUGGGGAUCAAACAGG